rnacentral:rRNA from 1 species
UACGUAGGCAGCGAGCGUUGUUCGGAGUUACUGGGCGUAAAGAGUGCGUAGGCGGUUUUCUAAGUCGAACGUGAAAUCCCCGGGCUCAACCCGGGAACUGCGUCCGAUACUGGAAGGCUUGAAUCCGGGAGAGGGAUGCGGAAUUCCAGGUGUAGCGGUGAAAUGCGUAGAUAUCUGGAGGAACACCGGUGGCGAAGGCGGCAUCCUGGACCGGCAUUGACGCUGAGGCGCGAAAGCCAGGGGAGCAAACGGG